CCUACGGGAGGCAGCAGUGGGGGGUAUUGCACAAUGGGGGGAACCCUGAUGCAGCGACGCCGCGUGGGUGAAGAAGCGCCUCGGCGCGUAAAGCCCUGUCAGCAGGGAAGAAAAUGACGGUACCUGAAGAAGAAGCCCCGGCUAACUACGUGCCAGCAGCCGCGGUAAUACGUAGGGGGCAAGCGUUAUCCGGAUUUACUGGGUGUAAAGGGGGCGAAGACGGCGAGGCAAGCCAGGAGUGAAAGCCGGGGGCCCAACCCCGGGACUGCUCUUGGAACUGCGUGGCUGGAGUGCAGGAGGGGCAGGCGGAAUGCCUGGUGUAGCGGUGAAAUGCGUAGAUAUCAGGAGGAACACCGGUGGCGAAGGCGGCCUGCUGGACUGCAACUGACGUUGAGGCACGAAAGCGUGGGGAGCAAACAGGAUUAGAUACCCCAGUAGUC
rnacentral:rRNA from 1 species